rnacentral:rRNA from 1 species
CAAAGUAAGAAAGUAUGCAGGGAAAAGUGGGUGACGUAAGGUAACCCGUUAAGCGAACCGCCUGGGGAGUACGACCGCAAGGUUAAAACUCAAAGGAAUUGACGGGGGAGCGCACAACCGGUGGAGCAUGUGGUUUAAUUCGAUACAAAGCGAAAAACCUUACCUGGGUUUGACAUGUACCUGCACGUUCUGGGAAACCAGAAUUUCUUCGAGAGUGGUACACAGGUGAUGCAUGGCUGUCGUCAGCUCGUGUCGUGAGACGUCCACUUAAGUGUGGUAACGAGCGCAACCCUUGCUGUCAGUUACAAGUGUCUGACAGGACUGCCCCCGCAUUGCGGGGGAGGAAGGAGAGGACGACGUCAAGUCAGCAUGUCCCUUACAUCCAGGGCUACACACAUCCUACAAUGGAGCCGACAACGGGUCGCGACGGAGUAAUCCUGAGCCAAUCCUUAUAAACGGCUCCUCAGUUCAGAUUGAGGGCUGCAAUUCGCCCUCAUGAAGCCGGAAUCGGUAGUAAUCGCAAAUCAGCAGGUUGCGGUGAAUACGUUCUCGCUCCUUGUACACACUGCCCGUCAAGCCAGCAAAGUCAGCAACGCCCGAAGCGGGUGACCGUAACCAGUUUACUGG